GACAGAGGAUGCAAGCGUUAUCCGGAAUGAUUGGGAGUAAAGCGUCUGUAGGUGGCUUUUCAAGUCCGCCAUCAAAUCCCAGGGCUCAACCCUGGACAGGCGGUGGAAACUACCAAGUUGGAGUACGGUAGGGGCAGAGGGAAUUUUCGGUGGAGUGGUGAAAUGCAUUGAGAUCGGAAAGAACACCAACGGCGAAAGCACUCUGCUGGGCCGACACUGACACUGAGAGACGAAAGCUAGGGGAGCGAAUGGG
rnacentral:rRNA from 1 species